rnacentral:lncRNA from 1 species
CACCGUCUCACUAGGGGCGCUCUCCCCGUUUCACCAGUGACUUGGUGACAACCAGCCUUGCUCACGAAGCGUCAGCCGUAUCCUUUCUGUGUGCAGUGGGGUGUGGGUUGUGUGGAGCCGCGGUGUCUGUGGAAUUCACAGGCUGGGGCCGGAAUCCAUGGCCCCCGUCGCCGCUGCCACCCCCCAGAUCCAUUAUUUAUUCUUCUCCAUCUUGUUCUGUGUUCCUGGAAGCCAACCUUUAUAAGCUGCAGGAAAUGGAUUUCCUACUCUCCACCUUCUGAUUGGGCUUGACCAACGGGGAGCACUGGCAGAAGACAAGCAUGGGAGGAAAAAGAGAUCAGGGUAUUCAUUUCCCCAGAUCCCUCCCUGUCCUCUACUUAAAGGUCAUAAGUCCAUCCAGGUGUCAUCUCUUAUGUAGGAUUCUAGCGACAUCUUCUCCCCUUGUUCCUUUAGGCUUAGGAGUAAUAACACUUUUCUGUUCUUGCUAGUCCUGAGGAUAAGUGUUUUGUCACCUCUUGUUGAUUUCCCUGACUUCAAAUACCAAACACUAUUUUUUUGCUAUUUUUGAACUUUAUGUAAGUAGAAUCAUACAGUAUAUAUUUUGGGGGGUAAGGUUUUUUUUGUUUUGUUUUACUCAAUAAUAGGUUUGUGAGCAUCAUCCAUGCUAUUGCAUAAAACAGUAGUUUGUUUUCAUUGCUGCAUAGUAUUUUUCACUUAUACAUUGUACUAUUAAUAAAUAUUUG